rnacentral:tRNA from 1 species
GGGGAUUUAGCUCAGUGGUAGAGCGCUUGCCUAGCAAGUGCAAGGCCCUGAGUUCGACCCUCAGCUCUG